CUUCUCACCAGGAAGCAGAUAGUGAAUCAUUCUAAAUCUGUUACUAUUAACAUGGUUUAAACUGAAGGAAAGAAGAACUCCAAAAGCCCAUCAGUUCUGAAGAUUUCUACUGAAGUUCUGCCUCUUUUUAGGACCGCAAAGUACCCAACAUGUAGCCGUGACCCUUUUGGUAUGUUUCUGCAGGGGAGAAAGAGAGGUAGUGUGAUGAUGCAUGAAUUAAGAUUGUUACCCAACGGACAGGUGAAAAAUCUAUUCUACAGGAAUCUAAAUUUAUUGGCAUGGUACCAAGAGGGAGAAUGAACACAAACUAGGAUACUAAAAACCAGGUUAACUGAACUAGGGAGGAAGAAAACUUUUAAAAAGUUGCUCUGAAAAACAUAAUUAGACAGCAGAGUUUACUCUUUUUACAGUAAGAAUGUGGACUUAUUUUUCACCAAGAACUAGAUUUAUCUCCUCCAUUGCUUUUUCCCCCUGUCUCUUACCAAGGCCUUUUCUUUUUUUCACUGAAAUAAUUUACACAUAAAUUGAAAUAGCAAGUCCCAUUAUCAAUUCUCUGAUGCUAAGAUAGCAAUAAC